AGAGUUUGAUCAUGGCUCAGAGCGAACGCUGGCGGCAUGCCUAACACAUGCAAGUCGUGCGCCCCCGCAAGGGGGGGCGGCGGACGGGUGAGUAGCACGUAGGAACGUGUCCUGAGGUGGGGGACAACGCCGGGAAACUGGCGCUAAUACCGCAUACGGGCCGAGGCCCAAAGCCGAGAGGCGCCUCAGGAGCGGCCUGCGUCCGAUUAGGUCGUUGGCGGGGUAACGGCCCACCAAGCCUGCGAUCGGUAGCUGGUCUGAGAGGACGAUCAGCCACACUGGGACUGAGACACGGCCCAGACUCCUACGGGAGGCAGCAGUGGGGAAUAUUGGGCAAUGGGCGCAAGCCUGACCCAGCAAUGCCGCGUGGGUGAAGAAGGUCCUCGGAUCGUAAAGCCCUUUCGGCGGGGACGAUGGUGACGGUACCCGCAGAAGAAGCCCCGGCUAACUUCGUGCCAGCAGCCGCGGUAAUACGAAGGGGGCUAGCGUUGCUCGGAAUCACUGGGCGUAAAGGGCGCGUAGGCGGCGCGGCUAGUCGGGCGUGAAAGCCCCGGGCUCAACCCGGGGACUGCGCUCGAUACGGCUGCGCUCGAGGGUGGAAGAGGCUCGCGGAAUUCCCAGUGUAGAGGUGAAAUUCGUAGAUAUUGGGAAGAACACCGGUGGCGAAGGCGGCGAGCUGGUCCAUCACUGACGCUGAGGCGCGACAGCGUGGGGAGCAAACAGGAUUAGAUACCCCGGUAGUCC
rnacentral:rRNA from 1 species